GCCCAGGUGGUGAAAUUGGUAGACACGCCGGACUUAAAAUCCUGUGGUAAUUAUACCGUGCGGGUUCGAUUCCCGCCCUGGGCA
rnacentral:tRNA from 1 species